AGUGGGGAAUAUUGCACAAUGGGCGAAAGCCUGAUGCAGCGACGCCACGUGAGGGAUGACGGCCUUCGGGUUGUAAACCUCUUUCAGCAGGGAAGAAGCGCAAGUGACGGUACCUGCAGAAGAAGCGCCGGCUAACUACGUGCCAGCAGCCGCGGUAAUACGUAGGGCGCAAGCGUUGUCCGGAAUUAUUGGGCGUAAAGAGCUCGUAGGCGGUCUGUCGCGUCUGGUGUGAAAUCCCAUGGCUCAACCAUGGGCUUGCAUCGGGUACGGGCAGACUAGAGUGCUGUAGGGGAGACUGGAAUUCCUGGUGUAGCGGUGGAAUGCGCAGAUAUCAGGAGGAACACCGAUGGCGAAGGCAGGUCUCUGGGCAGUUACUGACGCUGAGGAGCGAAAGCAUGGGGAGCGAA
rnacentral:rRNA from 1 species